rnacentral:rRNA from 1 species
ACGGAAGGCAGCAGUGGGGAAUAUUGCACAAUGGGCGAAAGCCUGAUGCAGCGACGCCGCGUGAGUGAAGAAGUAUCUCGGUAUGUAAAGCUCUAUCAGCAGGGAAGAAAAUGACGGUACCUGACUAAGAAGCCCCGGCUAACUACGUGCCAGCAGCCGCGGUAAUACGUAGGGGGCAAGCGUUAUCCGGAUUUACUGGGUGUAAAGGGAGCGUAGACGGUUUGGCAAGUCUGAAGUGAAAUGCGGGGGCUCAACUCCUGAACUGCUUUGGAAACUGUCGAACUAGAGUGCAGGAGAGGUAAGUGGAAUUCCUAGUGUAGCGGUGAAAUGCGUAGAUAUUAGGAGGAACACCAGUGGCGAAGGCGACUUACUGGACUGUAACUGACGUUGAGGCUCGAAAGCGUGGGGAGCAAACAGGAUUAGAUACCCUGGUA